rnacentral:rRNA from 1 species
UGAUGCAGCGACGCCGCGUGGGGGAUGACGGCCUUCGGGUUGUAAACCUCUUUCAGUACAGACGAAGCGCAAGUGACGGUAUGUACAGAAGAAGCACCGGCCAACUACGUGCCAGCAGCCGCGGUAAUACGUAGGGUGCGAGCGUUGUCCGGAAUUACUGGGCGUAAAGAGCUCGUAGGUGGUUUGUCGCGUUGUUCGUGAAAACCUGAGGCUUAACCUUGGGCGUGCGGGCGAUACGGGCAGACUGGAGUACUGCAGGGGAGACUGGAAUUCCUGGUGUAGCGGUGGAAUGCGCAGAUAUCAGGAGGAACACCGGUGGCGAAGGCGGGUCUCUGGGCAGUAACUGACGCUGAGGAGCGAAAGCGUGGGGAGCGAACAGGAUUAGAUACCCUGGUAGUCCACGCCGUAAACGGUGGGUACUAGGUGUGGGUUUCCUUCCUUGGGAUCCGUGCCGUAGCUAACGCAUUAAGUACCCCGCCUGGGGAGUACGGA